rnacentral:rRNA from 1 species
CAAUAGCAUAUGUUAAAGUUGUUGCGGUUGGAAAGCUCGUAGUUGGACUUCUGCUGAGGGUUGCUAACCCACCCUCUGGGCGUAGGUCUGGCCUGCCUCAGUAUCUUCUUGGAGAGUGUAGAUGCACUUGACUGUGCGGUGCGCUAUCUGAGGCGGUUACUUUGAGGAAAUUAGAGUGCUUCAAGCAGGUCAUUGCCCCGAAUACAUUAGCAUGGCAUGAUAAUUCAGAACCUCUUGUUCUUCUUUGAUGGUUGUAGAGCGGAGGGGAAGGUGAAUAGGAACAGCUGGGGGCAUUCAUAUUUGACUGUCAGAGGUGAAAUUCUUGGAUUUGUGAAAGAUGGACUACUGCGAAAGCAUCUGCCAGAGAUGUCUUCAUUGA